UUGAUUAUGGCAGAAAACAGAUGUGGAAAAUUUAGGAUUUUCUUAUAACCAUUAUUAUAAUUGGUUUAAUCAAA
rnacentral:tRNA from 1 species